GGGGAGAUGGCCGAGUGGUCUAAGGCGCUAGAUUUAGGUAUUACCGAAACUCUAGUCCGAAAGGGCGUGGGUUCGAACCCCACUCUCCUCA